rnacentral:rRNA from 1 species
AUCCAGAGAACUUAGCAGAGAUGCUUUGGUGCCUUCGGGAACUCUGAGACAGGUGCUGCAUGGCUGUCGUCAGCUCGUGUUGUGAAAUGUUGGGUUAAGUCCCGCAACGAGCGCAACCCUUAUCCUUUGUUGCCAGCGAUUCGGUCGGGAACUCAAAGGAGACUGCCGGUGAUAAACCGGAGGAAGGUGGGGAUGACGUCAAGUCAUCAUGGCCCUUACGGCCAGGGCUACACACGUGCUACAAUGGCGCAUACAAAGAGAAGCGACCUCGCGAGAGCAAGCGGACCUCAUAAAGUGCGUCGUAGUCCGGAUUGGAGUCUGCAACUCGACUCCAUGAAGUCGGAAUCGCUAGUAAUCGUAGAUCAGAAUGCUACGGUGAAUACGUUCCCGGGCCUUGUACACACCGCCCGUCACACCAUGGGAGUGGGUUGCAAAAGAAGUAGGUAGCUUAACCUUCGGGAGGGCGCUUACCACUUUGUGAUUCAUGACUGGGGUGAAGUCGUAACAAGGUAAGCGUACGUGU